rnacentral:lncRNA from 1 species
CUGCUCCUUUUCUGUUGCUUGCUUGAUCAUUGGGACUUUAAAAAAUUGAUGCAUGUCUUUUUAAUUAAUUGGGUGAUGUUUUUCUAAAAUUAAAAUUUUCUUCUUCCUAUAGCCCUGCCAUAGGACAGGCUGAGGCUGAGUCUCAGUGUUGCCCUGUUCAGUCUGAGCAGCAGAAUUUCAGCAUUUGCUACUUACUGGUAGAGAAGAAAAAUCCCACAGCCCUGCCAGUACAGGUUAGUUUAAUCUAAUGGCGUAGAUACAGUGGAAAUGGUUUUCCUUAUCUCUUUAGAGAGCUGCCUUUCUGGUGAGUACUGCUUUAUAAUUUUCAUAUCAUGGUUUUAUUUUUUUAGUCUAGC